rnacentral:lncRNA from 1 species
AACCGCUAAGAAAGGAAAGCUUCCACAAGAUGAUACUGUACCAUCACUCUUCGAGCAAGGUAACAUCUUAAGGUACUUGACUAUCACUUUUAUAAGCUUCUCCUUGGUUCUGGCGUUCAUAUAAAUAAAAGAGACAAACGUGUAUGAUUUACAACUCUAGAUUAACCAACCCAACUGAUUCAACAUGUUUAGUCCUUUAAUCCUUGUUCUUAGUACUACCUCCAUGAUCCCACACUCCUAAUCAUAUGAGCUAAAAUGUUACACAUUCAAUCAUUGAGAGAUAUAAAGAAAAAGACAUAUACAUAGAUAGAUUAUCUUUUCAUAAGGUUGAGCGAUCUGAUCUGACAAAUGUUAUAAGUGUUACAUUCAUGAACUUAUCAUCCAUCAACUUGUCUUGCUCACUAUGCUUAAGGUUAGAGAAGAACAAAUACACUUUUGGUUCUGUUGGUGUUUUCCACCAACAGGGCCCAUGCACUUGAUCUCUGCCUUGUCUCUAUGAGCAGGUACACUACGAGCACAAACACACUGAGCAAGAUACUGCUAACACCGCACUUCGAACUGCUGGGCAAAUGAAGAACAUGGGUGACACCGUAUUAAAAGGUGCAGACGUCAAGGUCCGCACCUGAAUCAAAUGACGCACCUGAAGAAUGAACACGAUGAGAAGUCUUGACAAGAAGACUUAAAACAUUGAACCCUCGCCGAAAGGUAAGAUUGGUAGUUAUCCAUAUUUAUCCUUUCUGCAUUCCCUUUUUCCUUUAAUUAUUUACUUUCUUUAAAUAGAUUAUUAGUUAAUCAUGCUAUCUUGAAAAGAAAAUAAAAAUGUUAAAAAAUACUAAGCCCCAUGUGAGUAUACGAGUGGCAUAAAACCCAUAAGUACCUUCACUGUGGUGGCAUAAAAAUAAAAUAAAUAUUUCUUUUUUACUUUAUAAAAUAAAAAUAUAAAAAUAAGGAGUAAUAUUUAUUGAGGAAGCUCAACGUGAUGAAGGCUAGAUAUUUAUGCUAACACUUAAUUAGUUCCACAAGCUUUGUUGUCUAUUUGAGCUCCACAGAAUUUAAGAAUCAAGAAGACUAGCAGACGGAGGACAUUCUAAUCGCUGUCAGAAUGCUACUGAUUUUCAAAUACACCUCUGCCACCUGCUAGCUACAUCAAGAGAAAUUACGUCAAAAUUCAGCUUGGGGGAGAGCACCCCCAUUUAUCUCGCUAAGUAUUUCUACCUAUCUUUAUACUUAUAUUAUAUUAGAAUAUUAAAAUACAUAAACUAUGAAAAACCAAAUAAAGAUUUUGUGCUUAUAUAUAUAUCUUUUGUUUAGUGUGUUUAAUAAAUAAAUAAAGUGGCUAUGCUAAUCUGAAUCUUAAUAAUAAAACUCUAGCAUGGAUAUGAUGAAUAGUUGCUCUGCCUAAUUUGCAAAUUUGAAGUUCUCUCUCAAGUUUAGACAUAACUGUUAUAAUUUAAAGCUUGCUCUAGAUCUAAACUUGUGGGAUGAAAACUUGAUCUGAAAUCUAAGUUGUUAACGGAUAUGAUAUGGGAAGGUUGAGCUGCUAUUUAUCUGUUCCUAGAGAUGCUAGAAUUCUGGAGAAUUUUAUCUUUGAAAAAUCUUUAAAAUAUUGCAUGAUGAGUUCCUGUAUGAUGAAAGUUUAAAUUCCUACCUCAGCCAUAUAUACAUGCUUGCUAGAUUUUGAGCCACACAUUUAUUAUUUACUGCUUAUGAGCAUUGAGUGUGGUCAAGCUGUGUAGACCCUUAGGAGCUUGUCAUGUGGUUAAAUCAAGAUUCACUUGCACGUUCACUCAUAUAUAUGCUACUUCUACUCCGGAAGUACCAUCCACAUAUAUCCAUUUCCAUCUCCAGAACCACCCAAAAAUAUUCUACUCCUAAUCCGGGAGAGAAUAGCAAAAAAUAUUUGUGUUUUUCCCUUGUGAAAUAAAUGCUCAAGUUAUCUUGCUACUACCACUUGCUAUAUUAUCUCAAGAGAUGAGUGCUCUGAAAAAAAAAGAGAGAAGAAAAAAAAGAGAAAAGAAAAAAAAAUAUAAACGAGAAAAUAAAAAGGGGCAAGUGCCCGGAACCUCGAAAGAAAAGAAAAAGAGUGAGACGAGAGGUAAAAAUGGACAAGUGUCCGACAGUAGAAUUAGAGGUACAGGAUACCCAUCUGAGAAAAAAGAAAAAGAAGAGCAUCUCAUUCUCCUCAUAAAGUUUCAAAAAAGCAAGGAAGGUAUGUAUCCCCUCAAAAGAGCAAAAGUAGAAUUAGACUUUCACCAUUGUUAUCACCAUCAUCACCAUACACUAUUCAUUCGCCACACAUGCACAUCUUGAUUUGGCUUAUUGAUUUGUUUCUUUGGAUCCAUGGUUUGACUAUACAAUAAAUGUCUUGUAAGUAUGUAUAUUUUAUCUCCCACCUAUGAGCUCCAGAUAUUAAAGCCUUAUUAGAGUAGGAUGAGAGAGAAGACAAUGUCACUAUCCCUUAUACCACAAAUACCACAUAUUUUGAGAGAAGGCAUAUACCAUCACUGCCUUGGUAAGGAUCCAGAAAUACCACAAAAGAGAGAUUUAGAGAGUCAUACAAGGAAUCUCUGAGUUUUAUUUGAAAAUCUGCAAAAACUCUAGAGUUAUAGCUGAUCAAGAAUAAGAGACAUGGCACUUGACUAGACUGUUCUAUCUUUUAACUGCUCAAGAUGGAAGUGACGGUUACAAGUCCCAUAGUGAAAGGUAAAGUAAGUAAGUUUUAAGUCUUGACAGUUUACUCUAACUCAGAGAUAAGACCUCAUUUAAAAAGCAUGUGUACCGUCAACUUUUAAAAAUAUUGCAACAACUUCUGAUCCAUCGCUGAGAUUAUCCUUGCUCAGGGACGAGCAAGAGUUAAGCUUGAGGGAGUUUGUUGACGGUCCUUAAGUAUCAAAUUUAACUAUCAAAUAAACAAAGAAAAGGAUCCAAAUGAAAUCAUCAUCGAGACUUAGGGUUUUAUCUGACAGAAUUCCACGAGUUUUGGUGUUCGUCUAUUUCUGCAGGGGGUUAUCAGGAAAUAAGGAAGAAAGGCCCACACGUCGGGAUUACAUAGAGAUAUCGACGUGCCGCGCAAUUAUCUCACAUCUAGAAGACUCCAGAAGCCACGGGAAGGAAGCGGAGACC